UACGUAGGGCGCAAGCGUUGUCCGGAAUUAUUGGGCGUAAAGAGCUCGUAGGCGGUUUGUCGCGUCUGCUGUGAAAACCUAAGGCUCAACCUUGGGCUUGCAGUGGGUACGGGCAGACUAGAGUGCGGUAGGGGUGACUGGAAUUCCUGGUGUAGCGGUGGAAUGCGCAGAUAUCAGGAGGGACACCGAUGGCGAAGGCAGGUCACUGGGCCGCAACUGACGCUGAGGAGCGAAAGCGUGGGGAGCAAACAGG
rnacentral:rRNA from 1 species